rnacentral:lncRNA from 1 species
AGAGAGAGAGAGAGAGAGGUUGUCAUCGUUGCGUGAAUCGAACUAAAUCCGGAAAUUCUCUCCCCUUGUCUUUGAAUUGAUUUGGGUGUCCAUGUUUUAGGGUGUUCGAAUUUGGGAUUCGAGUGGUUGAUUGGGACUGUCGACGAAGUGGCUGUGUCUUUACCCUGUAAGCCAUUUGGAGAGCAAAGAAAAUAGAAGAAAGAGUGUGCAGUUGAUCAAAAGAAGAAACAUAAAUGUCCAUCCCAGGAAGCAUUUGCUGUGAUCAGAGAGGCUUGAAUGUCCAUCCCCAGGCCUAGUUUUAGGCCUUCGUCCCUUUGACUUUCAACUCAUAGGUACAUUUAUCCUUGAAUUCUCUACAUAUUAUCUCAAUCUUGUUGAGUUCUUUUAGUUAAUUAGUUUUGUUUGUUGGGUUUUGGUACAAUUAUUGUAUACUUUUGUUUAUGUUUGUUCGAAUAGUAAAAGCUUGUUCAUUCCUAUAUUGCAGUUCAUGGCAUCAACGGAAAAUUCAUCCCACAAUUCGUCAUUCGAUGAGUUGUUUAAUGAGUUCAUGA